rnacentral:lncRNA from 1 species
GUCCAUCUCCUCAAGCAUUUUCCUUUGUGUUACAACCAAUCCAAUUAUACUCUUUUAGUUAUUUUAAAAUGUACAGUUAAGUUAUUAUUGACUAUAGUCCUCCUGUUGUGCUAUCAAAUACUAGGUCUUGUUCAUUCUUUCUCACAAUUUUUUUUGUACCCAUUAACUAUCCCCACCUCCCUGCCAUCCCUGCCGCCCACCCCAGAGGAAUCUUGUGU